UUGCGUCAGGUGAACCGCGCGAAAUACAAAUUUAGUGUCAGUUUUAGUGAUUUAAUUUUCACAAACGAGUCUGUUAAAGUACGCUCUGUGUAUCUGCUUAAAGAUAAAGUUCCUGCUACAUGUGUUAUUGAGUCAGAGCUUAUUAAAGGACAAGAAUCUGACGACGGUAAUCUCGUCAACGGCUAAACUGUUAUCUGGAAAGUGAGAAAUGGAUAAAAAGACGUUGGUGAAGCGGCGCGCUGCUAACAUGCUAAACCCUGAAGUUCGAUGGUUUUUCCUACUCUUAUAAGACUUGGGCACCACCUAAGCCCAAGCCCAGUGACCACACCACGUAAGCCCACCAACAACCCAGGAAAAUGGCCACAUGUCAAGGAAGGCUGCUGAGGUUGAGAGAGUCUUAGUGUCCAACAGAGAAGACCCGGGACUAUGCUGUAAAGGAGAAAAUUACAAGGAGGCCUGGAUCUCGGAAACUUGAAUCUACUAGUGAAUCAGAUGGGCCAUGCCGAUUAAUCUUAAGGCAGUCAGAGCUGCUAAAAUAAUGAAAUUUAAAAAAAGAUCUGUCUGCGUCAGUGCAUUAGUGCAGAUGAAGGUGGACAAACAUAUUUUUCCCAUGGAGGAGGUCCAAAAAGUGUACUUCACCAGCAAAUUCAAUGAUGUGGACAAGCUAGGAAAACAAGAGGUGUAAUUCAUGUCACAAUUCUCGCCCCCGCACACACACAAAGACAUAGGACACAUCCAAGCACCCAAUACUGCCAUAAUUAAAUGCAUAGUGAAUGAUUAUGAAUUAGAUUUUUCAUUAUGUAUGUAUAGAGUUUAUAUAUAUAGAUUUAUAACACAAUACAUUAUUCAGUUAUAUAAUUGUAUAUAUUACUGUAUAAUAAAAUUAUAUUAUUGUAUAAUUACCAUCGUAAAAUAAAUUAUUAAGUGUAAUAUAAUUGUUAUUAUAUAACAAAUACAAUCUAUUACUAUUAUUUUCUAUGUUACUAUUAUUAUAUAACAUUUAACAUUGCAAUAUACAUUGCCAAGUUGGUAAAUGUGUUAUCAGUUUACCAUUUAGAAGGUAUCCUUACCAGUUGUUUUUGUGCGUGUUUGAAAUUAUACCGUUGCUUA